rnacentral:RNase_P_RNA from 1 species
AAACAUGGUAAGCGGUCGCUUCUUUUGAAGAGGAAAGUCCGAGCUGCAAUAAGACAAAGAUUCCAUCUAACGGAUGGCUAGGGUAACCUAAGGGAAAGUGCAACAGAAAGAAAACUACCAUAUAGUAUAUGGAAAAGGUGAAACGGUAGGGUAAGAGCCUACCAGUGGUUUUGGUAACAAAACUAGCUAUGUAAACCCAAUCUGCAGUAAGAAGGGAUGGUUUUGGUUCUUAUAAUAUAACCCUUCGCUUGAACUUGUUUGCAAAAACAAGUCUAGAUAAAUGAUCGCUCUUGACAGAACUCGGCUUAUCGCCAUGU